CAGGCUUAACACAUGCAAGUCGAGGGGCAGCAUGGUCUUAGCUUGCUAAGGCCGAUGGCGACCGGCGCACGGGUGAGUAACACGUAUCCAACCUGCCGUCUACUCUUGGACAGCCUUCUGAAAGGAAGAUUAAUACAAGAUGGCAUCAUGAGUCCGCAUGUUCACAUGAUUAAAGGUAUUCCGGUAGACGAUGGGGAUGCGUUCCAUUAGAUAGUAGGCGGGGUAACGGCCCACCUAGUCUUCGAUGGAUAGGGGUUCUGAGAGGAAGGUCCCCCACAUUGGAACUGAGACACGGUCCAAACUCCUACGGGAGGCAGCAGUGAGGAGUAUUGGUCAAUGGGCGAGAGCCUGAACCAGCCAAGUAGCGUGAAGGAUGACUGCCCUAUGGGUUGUAAACUUCUUUUAUAAAGGAAUAAAGUCGGGUAUGGAUACCCGUUUGCAUGUACUUUAUGAAUAAGGAUCGGCUAACUCCGUGCCAGCAGCCGCGGUAAUACGGAGGAUCCGAGCGUUAUCCGGAUUUAUUGGGUUUAAAGGGAGCGUAGAUGGAUGUUUAAGUCAGUUGUGAAAGUUUGCGGCUCAACCGUAAAAUUGCAGUUGAUACUGGAUAUCUUGAGUGCAGUUGAGGCAGGCGGAAUUCGUGGUGUAGCGGUGAAAUGCUUAGAUAUCACGAAGAA
rnacentral:rRNA from 1 species